AUCCAUCUGACGAGUCUCAAAUAGGACGAAACGCCCGUCUUGAAU
rfam:Schistosoma haematobium scaffold35_31, whole genome shotgun sequence.